CCUACGGGAGGCAGCAGUGAGGAAUAUUGGUCAAUGGGCGAGAGCCUGAACCAGCCAAGUCGCGUGAGGGAGUACUGCCCUAUGGGUUGUAAACCUCUUUUGUCGGGGAGCAAAAGCCGGACGUGUCCGGCUGUGAGAGUACCCGAAGAAAAAGCAUCGGCUAACUCCGUGCCAGCAGCCGCGGUAAUACGGAGGAUGCGAGCGUUAUCCGGAUUUAUUGGGUUUAAAGGGUGCGUAGGUGGUUAAUUAAGUCAGCGGUGAAAGUUUGUGGCUCAACCAUAAAAUUGCCGUUGAAACUGGCUGUCUUGAGAUGUCGAGAGGUAUGCGGAAUGCGCAGUGUAGCGGUGAAAUGCUUAGAUAUUGCGCAGAACUCCGAUUGCGAAGGCAGCAUACCGGCGGCGAUCUGACGCUGAGGCACGAAAGCGUGGGUAUCGAACAGGAUUAGAUACCCGGGUAGUC
rnacentral:rRNA from 1 species